rnacentral:rRNA from 1 species
UACGGGAGGCAGCAGUGGGGAAUAUUGCACAAUGGGCGCAAGCCUGAUGCAGCCAUGCCGCGUGUAUGAAGAAGGCCUUCGGGUUGUAAAGUACUUUCAGUCGUGAGGAAGGUGUUAAGGUUAAUAACCUUAGCAAUUGACGUUAGCGACAGAAGAAGCACCGGCUAACUCCGUGCCAGCAGCCGCGGUAAUACGGAGGGUGCGAGCGUUAAUCGGAAUUACUGGGCGUAAAGGGCACGCAGGCGGUUAAUUAAAGUUGGAUGUGAAAUCCCCGGGCUUAACCUGGGAAUGGCAUUCAAGACUGGUUAGCUAGAGUCUUGUAGAGGGGGUAGAAUUCCAUGUGUAGCGGUGAAAUGCGUAGAGAUGUGGAGGAAUACCGGUGGCGAAAGGCGGCCCCUGGGACAAAGACUGACGCUCAUGUGCGAAAGCGUGGGGAGCAAAACAGGAUUAGAUACC